CGUAGGGUGCAAGCGUUAUCCGGAAUUAUUGGGCGUAAAGAGCUCGUAGGCGGUCUGUCGCGUCUGCUGUGAAAACCGGAGGCUCAACCUCCGGCCUGCAGUGGGUACGGGCAGACUAGAGUGCGGUAGGGGAGAUUGGAAUUCCUGGUGUAGCGGUGGAAUGCGCAGAUAUCAGGAGGAACACCGAUGGCGAAGGCAGAUCUCUGGGCCGUAACUGACGCUGAGGAGCGAAAGCAUGGGGAGCGAACAGGAUUAGAUACCCUGGUAGUCCAUGCCGUAAACGUUGGGAACUAGAUGUGGGGUCCAUUCCACGGAUUCCGUGUCGACGCUAACGCAUUAAGUUCCCCGCCUGGGGAGUACGGCCGCAAGGCUA
rnacentral:rRNA from 1 species